rnacentral:rRNA from 1 species
GGGCGUUAAGUUGCAGGGUAUAGACCCGAAACCCGGUGAUCUAGCCAUGGGCAGGUUGAAGGUUGGGUAACACUAACUGGAGGACCGAACCGACUAAUGUUGAAAAAUUAGCGGAUGACCUGUGGCUGGGGGUGAAAGGCCAAUCAAACCGGGAGAUAGCUGGUUCUCCCCGAAAGCUAUUUAGGUAGCGCCUCGUGAAUUCAUCUCCGGGGGUAGAGCACUGUUUCGGCUAGGGGGCCAUCCCGGCUUACCAACCCGAUGCAAACUGCGAAUACCGGAGAAUGUUAUCACGGGAGACACACGGCGGGUGCUAACGUCCGUCGUGAAGAGGGAAACAACCCAGACCGCCAGCUAAGGUCCCAAAGUCAUGGUUAAGUGGGAAACGAUGUGGGAAGGCCCAGACAGCCAGGAUGUUGGCUUAGAAGCAGCCAUCAUUUAAAGAAAGCGUAAUAGCUCACUGGUCGAGUCGGCCUGCGCGGAAGAUGUAACGGGGCUAAACCAUGCACCGAAGCUGCGGCAGCGAACGUAUCACUUAAAGCGAUUCAGCGGGUUACGAUUGACGGAGCGAAGCGACGUCAAAGCGUAUACAAAGUCGAGUCGGUUUAAGGAUACGUUCGUUGGGUAGGGGAGCGUUCUGUAAGCCUGUGAAGGUGGCCUGUGAGGGUUGCUGGAGGUAUCAGAAGUGCGAAUGCUGACAUAAGUAACGAUAAAGCGGGUGAAAAGCCCGCUCGCCGGAAGACCAAGGGUUCCUGUCCAACGUUAAUCGGGGCAGGGUGAGUCGACCCCUAAGGCGAGGCCGAAAGGCGUAGUCGAUGGGAAACGGGUUAAUAUUCCCGUACUUGGUGUUACUGCGAAGGGGGGACGGAGAAGGCUAUGUUGGCCGGGCGACGGUUGUCCCGGUUUAAGCGUGUAGGUGUGUGUUCCAGGUAAAUCCGGUUCACUUUAACACUGAGGCGUGAUGACGAGGCACUACGGUGCUGAAGCAACAAAUGCCCUGCUUCCAGGAAAAGCCUCUAAGCAUCAGGUAACAUCAAAUCGUACCCCAAACCGACACAGGUGGUCAGGUAGAGAAUACCAAGGCGCUUGAGAGAACUCGGGUGAAGGAACUAGGCAAAAUGGUGCCGUAACUUCGGGAGAAGGCACGCUGACAUGUAGGUGAAGUGAUUUACUCAUGGAGCUGAAGUCAGUCGAAGAUACCAGCUGGCUGCAACUGUUUAUUAAAAACACAGCACUGUGCAAACACGAAAGUGGACGUAUACGGUGUGACGCCUGCCCGGUGCCGGAAGGUUAAUUGAUGGGGUCAGCGCAAGCGAAGCUCCUGAUCGAAGCCCCGGUAAACGGCGGCCGUAACUAUAACGGUCCUAAGGUAGCGAAAUUCCUUGUCGGGUAAGUUCCGACCUGCACGAAUGGCGUAAUGAUGGCCAGGCUGUCUCCACCCGAGACUCAGUGAAAUUGAACUCGCUGUGAAGAUGCAGUGUACCCGCGGCAAGACGGAAAGACCCCGUGAACCUUUACUAUAGCUUGACACUGAACAUUGAGCCUUGAUGUGUAGGAUAGGUGGGAGGCUUUGAAGCGUGGACGCCAGUCUGC